AGGGUGUGCCUGCGAUGUGCUGCCUUCCCAAAGCCCCACACUGUCCUGGGGCCGGCUCCCAGUCCUUACAGGAAGGAGCAACAUAGCCAGCUUCGUCUAGGUCCCCAGCCGAGUGGAGGCGGUUAUGGUGCCAUACAAGAAUACGAAAGGGGAAACUCCACCUAUAGCGAAUGCCACUGUCACGGAGAGCCAAGGGCCUAAUUCAGAUUUGUGCUUACAUGCCUAUGCAGCUACGAUAUUUAAGCCUACAGACUUGCUAAUCAUCGCAGGUGAAGCAGCCGCCCAGAAAUGAGUGUAGACAUUCACUAGAAUUAUAGGAAAGUCAUCAGCAACUGCGUACACAUAUGCAGCAAGGAAGAAACAAGGAACAUUGACUCCCUGA